UGAACGCUGGCGGCAUGCCUUACACAUGCAAGUCGAACGGCAGCACGGGAGCAAUCCUGGUGGCGAGUGGCGAACGGGUGAGUAAUACAUCGGAACGUGCCCUGUAGUGGGGGAUAACUAGUCGAAAGACUAGCUAAUACCGCAUACGACCUGAGGGUGAAAGUGGGGGACCGCAAGGCCUCAUGCUAUAGGAGCGGCCGAUGUCUGAUUAGCUAGUUGGUGGGGUAAAGGCCUACCAAGGCGACGAUCAGUAGCUGGUCUGAGAGGACGAUCAGCCACACUGGGACUGAGACACGGCCCAGACUCCUACGGGAGGCAGCAGUGGGGAAUUUUGGACAAUGGGGGCAACCCUGAUCCAGCAAUGCCGCGUGUGUGAAGAAGGCCUUCGGGUUGCAAAGCACUUUUGUCCGGGAAGAAAUCGCACCUGAUAAUACCGGGUGUGGAUGACGGUACCGGAAGAAUAAGGACCGGCUAACUACGUGCCAGCAGCCGCGGUAAUACGUAGGGUCCAAGCGUUAAUCGGAAUUACUGGGCGUAAAGCGUGCGCAGGCGGUUGUGCAAGACCGAUGUGAAAUCCCCGGGCUUAACCUGGGAAUUGC
rnacentral:rRNA from 1 species